rnacentral:rRNA from 1 species
CCAGACUCCUACGGGAGGCAGCAGUGAGGAAUAUUGGUCAAUGGGCGCGAGCCUGAACCAGCCAAGUCGCGUGAGGGAGGACGGCCCUACGGGUUGUAAACCUCUUUUGCCGGGGAGCAACGGGCGUCACGUGUGGCGUCACUGAGAGUACCCGGAGAAAAAGCAUCGGCUAACUCCGUGCCAGCAGCCGCGGUAAUACGGAGGAUGCGAGCGUUAUCCGGAAUCAUUGGGCGUAAAGAGUUCGUAGGCGGCACGUAAAGUCUGGUGUUAAAGGCAGAGGCUCAACUUCUGUACGGCACUGGAUACUUGCGAGCUAGAAUGCGGUAGAGGUAAAGGGAAUUCCUGGUGUAGCGGUGAAAUGCUUAGAUAUCAGGAGGAACAUCGGUGGCGUAAGCGCUUUACUGGGCCGUAAUUGACGCUGAGGAACGAAAGCCAGGGUAGCAAAUGGGAUUAGAUACCCCAGUAC